rnacentral:rRNA from 1 species
GGAAUUUUGCGCAAUGGGGGAAACCCUGACGCAGCAACGCCGCGUGAUUGAAGAAGCCCUUCGGGGUGUAAAGAUCUGUCAGUGGGGACGAAAGAUGACGGUACCCACAGAGGAAGCAUCGGCUAACUCCGUGCCAGCAGCCGCGGUAAUACGGGGGAUGCAAGCGUUGUCCGGAAUCAUUGGGCGUAAAGAGUUCGUAGGUGGUUUGUUAAGUUAGGUGUUAAAUGCAGGGGCUCAACUUCUGAUCGGCACUUGAUACUGGCAGACUUGAAUGCGGUAGAGGUAAAGGGAAUUCCGGGUGUAGCGGUGAAAUGCGUAGAUAUCAGGAGGAACAUCGGAGGCGAAAGCGCUUUACUGGGCCGUAAUUGACACUGAGGAACGAAAGCCAGGGUAGCAAAUG